rnacentral:misc_RNA from 1 species
UGCCUAUCUGGUCAACGAAAUCCAGGAAGUUUACCGGCUCCAGGGCGUGCUCAUCAACGACAAGCACAUCGAAGUGAUUGUCCGUCAGAUGCUGCAGAAGGUCGAGAUCACCGAUCAGGGCGAGACCGACAUGAUCUCGGGCGAGCNUCGACAAGAUCGAGUUCGACGCGCUCAACGCCAAGGCGAAGGAAGAGGGCAAGAAGCCCGCGACUGGUACCCCGGUGCUGCUCGGCAUCACCAAGGCCAGCCUGCAGACGCGGUCGUUCU